rnacentral:snRNA from 1 species
GGAUGUGAGGGCAAUCUGGCUGCGACAUCUGUCACCCCAUUGACCGCCAGGGUUGAUGUGGCUGAUCUGGCUGGCCAGGGGGGGGGGCCCCUCACCCUAGGCGGGUGGCCCCUUCCUCCCUCACCAAUCCAGCUACACGCUCGGUCAAAGAGAGGGGAGGACCAGUCUUCCAUCAAGGCCAUAGGAGUAGCUGCGCUCCCCUGCUGGGACCUCCAGACAAGCUCUCAAGGUCCAUCUGCAGGGAAAGUAGGGGAGUCAAGCCCCAAGUCUCCAGGCACAUCCAAAUGAGAGGCUGCACGUGGCAGUCUGCCUUUCUUG